UUGCUUCACUAGUAGAUUGACUAAAACGGAAAUGAUACAGAGAAGAUUGGCACAACUCUGAUGCAAGGGGACACAGGAACACAUGAAGUAUUCCAUACUUUA
ensembl:snRNA U6 U6 spliceosomal RNA